GCUCUUAGUAGGCCGGUAUUGUUAUUAUUUAUUAAUUGCAUCAAGGUUUCUUUCAUUAAUUGAUGUGUUUCUACCAAAUUCAAAUUCAUAUGCCACCAAAUGUCAUUGUAAAGUUCAUUGUUACAGAAUAUUGUUCCAGGAUGUUUUUUUCACUCCAGUAGGAAAUCUAUUUUCCUCUUCUUCUGCUCCUUCCUAUUAACCCCUUUUUCUGAGUUGUAGGUAACAAUCUGUCUUGUACUGUGAGGUGCUUUGAUAGUCAAUCAGGUUUUCUCAGUACCAU
rnacentral:lncRNA from 1 species